rnacentral:sRNA from 1 species
GGGACUGCGGCCCGCCUCCAUUCGUGCGUCUCCUUCUCUCCGCAGGUCAGCUCCGCCGAAGGCGCCGCCAAGGAAGAGCCCAAGAGGAGAUCGGCGCGGUUGUCAGCUAAACCUCCUGCAAAAGUGGAAGCGAAGCCGAAGAAGGCAGCAGCGAAGAGCCAAGUUAGGACUGAGGCCAGGAGGAAGGGAACGUGUAAGUUUUUGUAUAUACAGUUUCCAAGCCAACUUCGGGAAGCCUUAACCUUUUUACGGGGUGGGGGUGAGGAGGUAAAAAGUUGUGAUCUCUGAGAAAAUAACCGCCACUACUCUGGAAGUGUUUAUCAGCAGUUAUACAAAACCGUGAUUUUGGCUGCUCCCUAACAAAUUCGUGAUUGCAUGAUUGGAAUUGCAGGUCUGUAGAAUGAAAUUGGCUUUGGGUAUACGUGUGUUUGAUAACUUUCAGGGUGGAAAAGCAGAACGUGUGUAAAACAUGUAUAAGCCUUGUGUUUGGAUAUAGCAUUGAAACCACCACCUGUAAAGCUCUACAUGUUCUUCACGGGGUGAUUAGUUUUUAUCCAAAACUUAGGUGAGAGUUUGCUAUUUGAAGUCUCAAAAAAAAUUUUUGUUAAUGCCUUCACCUCUUU